ACGGCCAUACCACAUUGAAAACACCGGUUCUCGUCCGAUCACCAAAGUUAAGCAAUGUCGGGCCCGGUCAGUACUUGGGAGGGUGACUACUUGGGAACACCGGGUGCUGUAGGCU
rnacentral:rRNA from 1 species